rnacentral:rRNA from 1 species
CACGUAGGGUGCGAGCGUUGUCCGGAAUUAUUGGGCGUAAAGAGCUCGUAGGCGGUGUGUCGCGUCGGCCGUGAAAACCUGCAGCUUAACUGUGGGCUUGCGGUCGAUACGGGCAUCACUGGAGUUCGGCAGGGGAGACUGGAAUUCCUGGUGUAGCGGUGAAAUGCGCAGAUAUCAGGAGGAACACCGGUGGCGAAGGCGGGUCUCUGGGCAUUACCUGACGCUGAGGAGCGAAAGUGUGGGGAGCGAACAGG